ensembl:lncRNA
UUGAAAGAUUCUAUGGGCUAUUUCUGGGGACCACUGCAAGGCAUGGGGCACCCCAUCUCUCCCCCUUUCUUUUUGUCUGGGAGGAAAGAGCCAGCAGCCUGACUCACCCCUUUUCUCUGCAAACAUGAAUUAGCCACGAAUGUUCGAGAAUUAUUCCUGAAUAAUUCAUGAACCUGAAUUAAUCAUGCAUUUCUCCCCCAUGAAUUAUUCAUGAAUUAUUCAUGGAAAUGCAAGGUUUAUUCAUGCUCUUGGAAAAGGGAGGAGAACUGGGGGAUAGGGGGAGAAGGGCCCCUUCUCAAGAUUUUUUUCGUUCUUUCUUUCCUGCCCCCCCCCCUUUUUGAUAAAAAUCCUUGCUUGUAUUUAUUUUUCUGUUGUCCCCUUCUGUAAAGGCGUGAUGUUGACACAGGCUUCUCAGAAAAUGAAAGCCAUAAAGGAUCUGUGAUGAUGAAGAACGACAGCAAAAGAAACACAAGACAAUCUCCUCUUCUGCAACCAGCAGCUGAAUACUGAAUAGCCAGAAGACAUUUUGUAAGAAGACUCCAAAGUGAAACAGGCAAGAACUAUCAUCCCACCUGCCAAUGGCUGCCAAACUUUAUGUUCUUGUCAGCUGGCCAGAUGGGAGCCGUGUCAUCAACAUUGAAAACAUCAAGGAGCCACGAAAGUCCUUCCACUUGUACAGAGUUGGUGAGCAGGUUUUGGCCCGAUGUCCAGGCUUCAGUGGUUUGUACUGGGGGAUUGUCGAAGGGAUCAGUGAGAAUAAAUAUGUUCUGGAGCGAAAGCUACAAGAAGAUAAAGAACUCCUAGAGAUGUUGGAAGAGCAACCAAACGUAGCAAAUUGGGGACCCACCCAACCCAAAAAGUCAAGGAAAUUCUUUCCCAAAUGGAAUCCGGGAUCUGGUUUGAGGAAAUGUAGCAAGGAUAAAUCCUUCAGGAUGGUGGAGGAAGCUGCAAAAGCUCAUUUCCAACAAGAACCUCCUCCAUCUUCUGGUCUACACGAGGGAUACAGCCAUAGUGCCAUGAUGAAGAGCUAUUCCUCUGAGUCAGUGAUUUCCCAGUCUCCGGGUCCUUUUCAGACAUCACCUUCUUUCCUAUCUUUAUCUGCCAGUGGAAUAUCUCAAAGAAGUGAAACAAGAGUGAACCGAGGAACCCGAGAUUACUCGACCAUAAUAACAAGGAGAAAAAUGGAUGAUCCUGUAGAACAAUGUCAGAAGCGGAUCUGUAUAAACAGCUUUGAUGAGUCAAAGGGCACCAAUUCCCUGGAAAUUGAUGGUUUGGAGCUUGUUCGGAAAGCUAUUGAAAAGGAAAGAGAGGAGAAGAUUGAACAAUUGGAGCGAAUGGUCUUGGGUCUCCAGCGAGAAGUCCUCUCCUUGAAGCAGAAGGUGCAGCACCUUGAAGGUGCCUCUUUUCAGGAGCAGAAACCUCCAUGCCAACCGUGUGAGGUCUCUGAACUAUUCAAUGGAUACACAAGGGACCAACUCAAAGAGGCCAUCCGGUUUGACCAAAAAAUCAGCACCGCUUGCAAAACUCUCCUCUACAAGCUCUUCACAUCAGAUUACAUCCAAAGUCAUUCCAUCACCGGGAGGAGAGGCAAUACAUUCCGGGAAGCUAAGCCCAUGAUGGAUGAGAGGUGCAUCAAAAUAAUCCGAGUGUUGCUGAAGCAGAAGUUUGGGGACCAUCUGAGUGAUACAGUGAUCACUGAGAAGAUCCAAAAUGUGCAGAAAGCAUUGAGGCAGAAAUUUAAGACUGAAUGUCUCUGAUUCUCCAGUAACCAGGCAUAUCCCACCUGCAUACAAGGAUAAAGCUUUAAAAUAUAAUUACUUUGGAUUUUCUAUUGAGUUGAUAUCAUCCUAAAUAUUUCCUAUCAUCCACUCUUUCACAUAUGGAAGUAUGGCACUAUGAUUCCACUUUAAACUCCAUGUCAACAUCCUAUAGAUUCAUGAAAUUUGCAUUUAGAAGAUGAAUAUUGAGAACUCUCUCCCACAAUGUUCCAAUGUCUUCUAUACUACAAAUCCAAGAAUCCCAUAGAAUGUUGCCAUGGCAGUUAAAGUAGAAUCAUAGAACUAUAAUUCAGUAUAAAAAAUAGAAAGUUAUUCCACAUGUGAACCUCCUUUUAAAAUAUUGUUUGUGAAUAGCUGAUGCACUGUAAGUGAGAAUACAAGUUUCUUGCUACCCUGUGGAGCUCUAGUCUUUGCUUCUUCUGGCAAGGGCUAGGUAGUAAGUGACGCAGAGAGUUGCUGCUAGUCAAAGUUGAAAGCAUUGAAGAAAACAAACUAAUUGUCUCAAUGAGUAAUAUGAAGCUUUAUAUUUUAGCAGUACACUUAAAAGCAGCAUAUUCCUGCACAUUUUAUUUUAUGGCAUGGGAAGUUAUAUAUCACAGAUCCAAGAAUUUGGGAAGUUGUUCUCCAGAUGAAUGUUUCCAAACUUUGUUUUUUCACUGUGUGGAAUCCUAUUGGUGAUUUAUGUCUUCAUAAAUGUCCUUGUGACUUUGGAAAUUAGAAUUGGACAAUUUCAUAAUAUUUAUAUCUAGUAAGGGAAAAUGGUUGUUUUUCUACAUAAGGGAGUCAGCAAAUACAGCAAAUAUGCAUUGGGAAUGAUGCUCAAUUAAUGUGCAUUUGUCCAUUGUACAUCAGGACACAAAAUAGACAGUACCAAUGAACAUCAGGAGAAACGCUUGCUGUGGUCCUCUUCCACAUCUUUGCAGUUCAGUAGCAGGGAUUUCUAGCAGCUUGGCCAUGUAGCUACAGAUGGAUAAAAUUAUGUAAUAUAGACUAUGAUUGUCAUGGCUAAUGCCAGCAUGAGGAGAUGGAGGAAGGAUGACUUCUCCCGGUCUUCUAGUUGGGCUCAAAUACAGAGCAAGAGCAGGUGCAGCCAGACAGACACUGAAGAGGCCACCACUUCUGAACAGGAACAACAGCCACACCAAGUGGACAAUGAAAAACUUACCACUCCUUUGGGCUCACAGCAAGGGCAGGAUUGGGACCUUAAACUAGGAGACCAGGGGUUAAAUAUUCCAGACUGGCUACAAUUAAGGACAGAUGGGAUUCAAGUGUAGAGAUCUAGUCAUUUGGCUGAAAAGAGGGCCAGCAGGUGGGAGAACUUGAGAAAUCUGUAUACAUAGCUGAAGUCUGGAAUAGUUGCUGGUGGCAACGUUGGUUUUUGAGCUGCAGCCUUGAUAAUUGUGCUUUGUGCCUUGAACCUUUGAAAGACAGGCUAUACCUUGGAUUGUGGAUUAUUCCUGGAAAUUGUGUUGAUGAAAUAACUUGGCUUUGGAAUAUCGGAAUGGACUUAUGGCUUACUCUCUUGUCUCAUCCUUUCUUGACCGAUUGAUUACUGUGUUGACCUCAGACUUCCCCUGGACUAAGCUUGUGUGCUCAGCUGCUUUACAGAGACAAGCAGGGCAGGACUCUGAUAAUGACAGAGGAUUCUGCUCUAUGUUAAUUGGUAUAACCUGUUGCCAUUAUGUUCUUCUACAUAUACAUCAUUUUGAGCUAUGUCACACUCUCUUUUUCUGUUAAAAUAGUUCAUAUAUUAUUUACAUUAGGCAUAGCUCUGCGUUUACAUAGAAAACAAGAGAGUCCGAGUGGAAGGAAAAUGAGGUUGUGGGCUCUCUCUGGGAGUGCAUCCUUAUUUCUUCUCCCUCUGAGAUGAGACAAAUGUGUCUUUCCAUUUAAAUCCUCAGUCCCCACCAGUAAGCAGUAUCAAGCCUCCCAGGACUUGAAACCUACAAGAUAUGUGUCCAGGUGGAGUGUUAUGUUCAUUAAGCCUGAUGUAGGCUCUUGACUCAGUUGAUCAGGACUCAAUCAACUAUUACUUGGUGAGCUUUGACUCAAGCAACAAGAAGGGAGCAAGAAGAUUCUAUCUCCCAACCAGAUGGUGGUAAACCUCAGCAAAUACUACAAUUUUUUUCUUUAUUUAAUGAUGUCCUUCAUUUUGCCUAAUGGAUCUCAAGUACAAUUUACUCUUCUCCACAAAGGGUUAGAGAACCCUUCAGAAAGAACACUUCAUGGCAGCAGAAGUGUACACCAUGACAUUUAAAUCUGGAUGAGUGGUACAUAUUUUUGCCUGGCUUAAUAAAUGUGUGGCUGUUUUGUGGAUUUUUGAUGUUAUUAUAUCUUAUUGUCUGCACAAUAUGACUACCCCUGGUUGUGUAUUUUACAAUAAGUAUGCUUUUAUACAGCUGCGUAAGACUAUUUAGAGAUGUGAAGGACUUAUUGAAAAGCUCAUACUAUGUAAGAGGGAAGACGUAGCUAAACUCAAUGUCCCUCAUUGAAUCUGAAUGAUUAGAGAUUCAGAACAGGCAAGGCAUUCUUCUACACAGAGUGCAUAGUUAAACUGAGGAAUUUGGAGUGAUGGAUGCCAGCAAGAUGAGGUGACAGAUGCCAACACAGAUUACUUUAAAAGGACAUCGGGUGAACUUUUAGAGAAUUGAGCUACCACAACUACAUUGCAUGGUGUGUGUGUGUGUGUGUGUGGUAAAAUGGUUUGACUGUUAGCAUAAGACACUUGGAAGCAAGAGUUUAAAUCUCCGUACAGGCGUGGAAACCCAUUGGGUGACUUUGGGAAAGUCACGUUCUUUCAGCCUCACAGAACAUGAAAUACAAACUCUAUUUGAAUGAAUAAUAAUAUAAUAAUAACUUUUUAUAUAUAUCCCGCCUCCAUCUCCCCACAGGGACUCGGAGCAGCUAACAUGGGACCAAGCCCAGGUAUCCACAAUAAAAAUAGAAUAAAAUACAUACAGAACAAAACAAGCAUCAUCAUCAAAAAAAGCAAGUUAAACAGAGUAAAACGCCAUAUUAAAUAGCAAUGUAGUAAUUAAAUAAAACACUUUGUAAGAGUGAAAACCACAAUUAAUAUAGGAGGACUGGGCAAAAAUGCGAGGAGUGCAUAAUUGACCUUUGUUCCAAUGACAGCAUCUAAGUCAGCUCUUAUGUGAGAGAUUUUUUUCUGCAAAAUGGUUGUAAAAAGCAUCACAGUGAGUUACUGAAGGUUCUAGCAAAGGAUUUGGAUGGAGGGCACCUGGGUUAAACCUCUCACCACUCUGAACAGCUCAGCUGGAUGUGAAUCUGCAGACACAAUGCUUGCAGAGAGGAAAACUUUAUUCGCUGCAAGUAUUGCCACCUUAUAAGAGCAAAGGUGCCCUCUAUACUAUGUAUUGUUGCAUAAAAGUCAAGUUUUCCACCAUCUGUGCUCUAGUUGUCGUCCUACCCAUUUCAUUUCUGGGCUGUGGCGCAGCUGGUUAGUAGCUAGCUGCAAUAAAUCACUACUGACCAAGAGGUCAUGAGUUCAAAGCCCAGGUUGGAUUGAUUGCCCGACCAUUAAAUAGCCAUUAAAUAGCACCAGCUCGUUGUUUACCUAAGCAACCUGAAAGACAGUUGCAUCUGUCAAAUAGGAAAUUUAGGGACCGCUUAUGCGGAGAGGCUGAUUUAACUAAUUUACGUCACUAUAAAAAAGUCCAGCAGUAUGCGUGCCGUAAGAUGAAGAAGUACUCCAUCAUGGACUUGGCAUCACAGUGGAUGAUGAAGCAGCAGCUCCCCCUGUGGCCGGAAUUGAGCAUACCCUCAUAAAGCCAGAAGUUGGGAAUAUUAAAUAGCCUCUGUGUCUCUGUCUCUGUGUGUCAUAUGUCUGAUGGUGUUGAAUGUUUGCCAUGUAUAUGUACAUUGUGAUCCGCCCUGAGUCCCCUUUGGGGUGAGAAAGGUGGAAUAUAAAUACUGUAAAUAAAUACAUAAAUUUCCAUGAGGGAGCCUAUUUUGUCACUAGUCGGAGAGGACAUUUCAGAGUGAUCAUAGCCCUGGUUAGAUUUUGGUUCCACUUUUAAGAAGGUGAAUAGUAGCCGAUGAAAAAUUGUGCAACUUCAUUUUUCAUCUUUCAGGAUUGUACAUCUCAGAGUUAAUGGUACAUACUUUGACUACCAAGCAUUUAAUCAAUUUUUCACUGGUAGAAACUGAUCUCUCUUCAGAUUUUCUCUUUGUGGCUGUAGAUAACAGAUGUGCUCAUCAGAACCUUCUAAUUCUCUGUCUAGCAAUGUUUGUAUUUUGAUUGAAGAUAUGGUAAUUAAUCACAGCUGUUUCUUUCUUUGCAAUGUCACUUUAGUU